rnacentral:rRNA from 1 species
GACGAACGCUGGCGGCGUGCCUAAUACAUGCAAGUCGAGCGAAUGGAUGGGAGCUUGCUCCCUGAAGUUAGCGGCGGACGGGUGAGUAACACGUGGGCAACCUGCCUGUAAGACUGGGAUAACUUCGGGAAACCGGAGCUAAUACCGGAUACAUUCUUUCUUCGCCUGAAGAAAGAUGGAAAGAUGGUUUCGGCUAUCACUUACAGAUGGGCCCGCGGCGCAUUAGCUAGUUGGUGAGGUAACGGCUCACCAAGGCAACGAUGCGUAGCCGACCUGAGAGGGUGAUCGGCCACACUGGGACUGAGACACGGCCCAGACUCCUACGGGAGGCAGCAGUAGGGAAUCUUCCGCAAUGGACGAAAGUCUGACGGAGCAACGCCGCGUGAGUGAAGAAGGCCUUCGGGUCGUAAAGCUCUGUUGUUAGGGAAGAACAAGUACCAGAGUAACUGCUGGUACCUUGACGGUACCUAACCAGAAAGCCACGGCUAACUACGUGCCAGCCGCCGCCGUAACAC